CGACUUCAGACAAAUCGAUUGAUGAUGUUAUUGAUGACGUAACACUUGACAAAAAUAAAGCGAAGGAAUUUAAGAAUCAUCGCAGAUUCUUCUGGCCUAACAUUGACGAAGAAUGUUACAAUGAAUGUUGCACAUGGGAAGAAGUUAAUGAACACUAUUCCUCGAGCGCCGCGAAUGAUUACUGGAAGAAAUAUCUCAAAUGGCGCAACGGCCCUAACUCACAUUGUUAAGAUGGAUGAACGAAAAGAUUAAAAGAAUACCCGAUGACGAUUUACGGAUUUUCCAUAAGAUACCUGAAUUACUUACGUUGAAUUGUAUACGUAGUUUCAUGACUAUAUUAAUAUUUUUAGUCAAUA